AAGAACAGUUGGUUUUGUUGGUAAGAAAUCACAGGUGGAUCUUAAUCUGGAGCUGAGUCUAGCUGGAGAUGCAGACGGUGGAAGACACACACAUCACCCUGAAAUGUGUUCGGGGCCUCAGCUGUCCUCGGGCUCCAAGCUCCACCCACAUCGCCCUCUGUCGGGCAGGGCUGCGUGCCUUGGUGCUCCGCACCUGCCACCGUCUUGCUGGGGGUAACAGUGAUAGCACUGUUUACAUGACCUUAUGUAAAACAUAAUUAACACAGCUUUGCUCACUUAGUAAGUGUUCUACCCAGAAGACUAUGAACUCGGAUAUGUUAUCACUAUGCGGGUUAAGAAUUUAUAAAUAGAUGUAGGAUAUCAUAGUCCCUGCUAUACUGCAGGUAUUCAAUUAAAAAGUAGCUACUGCUUCAACUGUGAUUUCUUCAUAGCCAGCUCUGCGUCGUGAGUCCACAUCUGCCCUCCUGAUUCUCCUCUCCACAUCUGCACACGAUGUCUUUGUCUGUCUGCUCCCUCUCUCCUACUGACACCCUCAGUUUCUCCACACUGAGCUUCUGUUCCUCUGGGAAUCUCUGAUGCAGCUAACUGCUCCGUCCUCCCAAGAUCACAUUUGCUUGUUCUGAAUAACUCUUGCUUUUGUCCCCAGGAUUCUCUGUGCUUGUAAUGCACAACUUGUCAUUCCCCCAUGGAACAGGAGCCACGAGCCCUGUCCUCACUGAAAGGCGGGUCUGAGCAGUGGGACUGGGCUGAAUGCCUAGAGAGCAAGGCUCAUCUUAGAAGCUGCGGCCCCGGGGCCUGUUGCAACCAGGUGACACCUUGUCAAGGGUUCAGGGAUUAGGGACACAAAGGCACAAGUUUGUGGAUGGGACGGUGGUGCUGGCUCACAGAGCACGUGUGCCGCAUGGAAACGGACACCUGACUCACUGAACGUCUCAUUAAUAUGCAGACCCACUCCGGAUACUUCUCCAGUCUGUACCCUCAUCACCAUUUCGGCCCAUUCCCGCAUCAUCACUCCUACCCAGAGCAGGAGACUGUGAAUCUCUUCAUCCCAACCCAGGCUGUGGGUGCUAUCAUCGGGAAAAAGGGGGUGCACAUCAAACAGCUGGCUCGAUUUGCUGGUGCCUCUAUCAAGAAAGCUCAGGCAGAAGGU